AGAGUUUGAUCCUGGCUCAGAACGAACGCUGGCGGCGUGCCUAACACAUGCAAGUCGAACGAGAACAGCCCCUUCGGGGGCCCAGUAAAGUGGCGCACGGGUGAGUAACACGUGGGUAAUCUACCCAGGGGUCCGGGACAACACUUCGAAAGAGGUGCUAAUACCGGAUAGGACCACGCCCUCCUCGGAGGGUGAGGUGAAAGGUGGCCUCUCCAUGGAAGCUAUCGCCUUUGGAUGAGCCCGCGUCCCAUCAGUUUGUUGGUGAGGUAAAGGCUCACCAAGGCUGAGACGGGUAGCUGGUCUGAGAGGAUGUCCAGCCACACUGGAACUGAGACACGGUCCAGACUCCUACGGGAGGCAGCAGUGGGGAAUAUUGCGCAAUGGGCGCAAGCCUGACGCAGCGACGCCGCGUGAGUGAUGAAGGCCUUCGGGUCGUAAAGCUCUGUCGGACGGGAACGAAAACGCMAARGGAACAAUACCCCUUCGCUCUGACGGUACCUGUCCAGAAAGCACCGGCUAACUCCGUGCCAGCAGCCGCGGUAAUACGGAGGGUGCAAGCGUUGUUCGGAAUCAUCGGGCGUAAAGGGCGUGUAGGCGGGAUAGUAUGUCGGAUGUGAAAGCCCUCGGCUCAACCGAGGAAUUGCGUCCGAAACUGCUAUUCUUGAGUACGGGAGAGGGAAGCGGAAUUUCCAGUGUAGAGGUGAAGUUCGUAGAUAUUGGAAGGAACACCGGUGGCGAAGGCGGCUUCCUGGACCGAUACUGACGCUGAGACGCGAAAGCGUGGGGAGCAAACAGGAUUAGAUACCCUGGUAGUCCACGCUGUAAACGAUGAGCACUAGGUGUUGCGGGCGUUGACCCCUGCAGUGCCGCAGCUAACGCGUUAAGUGCUCCGGCUGGGGAUUACGGUCGCAAGACUAAAACUCAAAGGAAUUGACGGGGGCCCGCACAAGCGGUGGAGCAUGUGGUUCAAUUCGACGCAACGCGCAGAACCUUACCCGGGUUUGACAUCCUGGGAAUCCCUGAGGAAACCGGGGAGUGCCUACUUUGUAGGAGCCCAGAAGACAGGUGCUGCAUUGGCUGUCGUCAGCUCGUGUCGUGAGAUGUUGGGUUAAGUCCCGCAACGAGCGCAACCCUCGCCCUUAGUUGCCAGCAUUCAGUUGGGCACUCUAAGGGGACUGCCGGUGUUAAGCCGGAGGAAGGCGGGGAUGACGUCAAGUCCUCAUGGCCUUUAUAUCCGGGGCUACACACGUGCUACAAUGGGCGGUACAAAGGGCAGCUAACCCGUGAGGGGGAGCAAAUCCCAAAAAGCCGAUCUCAGUUCGGAUUGCAGUCUGCAACUCGACUGCAUGAAGUCGGAAUCGCUAGUAAUCGCAGAUCAGAACGCUGCGGUGAAUACGUUCCCGGGCCUUGUACACACCGCCCGUCACAUCACGAAAGUGGGUUGUACUAGAAAUCGCUAGGCUAACCUUGCAAGAGGAAGUAAGCGCUUAAGGUAUGAUUCAUGAUUGGGGUGAAGUCGUAACAAGGUAACC
rnacentral:rRNA from 1 species